rnacentral:rRNA from 1 species
CCUACGGGAGGCAGCAGUAGGGAAUCUUCCGCAAUGGACGAAAGUCUGACGGAGCAACGCCGCGUGAACGAUGAAGGCCUUCGGGUCGUAAAGUUCUGUUGUUAGGGAAGAACAAGUGCUAGUUAAAUAAGCUGGCACCUUGACGGUACCUAACCAGAAAGCCACGGCUAACUACGUGCCAGCAGCCGCGGUAAUACGUAGGUGGCAAGCGUUGUCCGGAAUUAUUGGGCGUAAAGCGCGCGCAGGCGGUUUCUUAAGUCUGAUGUGAAAGCCCCCGGCUCAACCGGGGAGGGUCAUUGGAAACUGGGAAACUUGAGUGCAGAAGAGGAAAGUGGAAUUCCAAGUGUAGCGGUGAAAUGCGUAGAGAUUUGGAGGAACACCAGUGGCGAAGGCGACUUUCUGGUCUGUAACUGACGCUGAGGCGCGAAAGCGUGGGGAGCAAACAGGAUUAGAUACCCUGGUAGUCCACGCUGUAAACGAUGAGUGCUAAGUGUUAGAGGGUUUCCGCCCUUUAGUGCUGAAGUUAACGCAUUAAGCACUCCGCCUGGGGAGUACGGUCGCAAGACUGAAACUUAAGAGUAGUAGACGUGAGACGUGCGACGACGACACAGGGAGGUAGG